ACAUCGCCUCCUGUCAAGUAAUAGGAGGUCCCGCCUGCCCAGUGACUAUACGUUCAACGGCCGCGGUACCCUAACCGCGCGAAGGUAGCGCAAUCACUUUGUCCUUUUAAAUUGUUGGACUAGUAUGAACGGCAUAACGAGGGUUAUACUCGUCUCCCUCUUCCAAUCAGUGAAACUGAUCUCCCCGUGAAGAAGCGGGGAUAACAUUAUAAGACGAGAAGACCCCAUGGAGCUUUAAACCCAAAGUCAACUGCUGCCGCAUAUAUCCCCAAAGCUAUAGCAGAUUUCUGUCACUUUGGUUUUCGGUUGGGGUGACCGCGGAGCAAAAUAAAACCUCCACAAUGAACGGAACUAACUCCUAAUCCAAGAGCUACAACUCAAAGAAUCAAAACUUUGACAUAAAUUGAUCCAAAUAAUUUGAUCAACGAACCAAGUUACCCUGGGGAUAACAGCGCAAUCCAUUUUUAGAGCUCCUAUCGACAAAUGGGUUUACGACCUCGAUGUUGGAUCAGGGUAUCCCAGUGGUGUAGCCGCUACUAAAGGUUCGUUUGUUCAACGAUUAAAACCCUACGUGAUCU
rnacentral:rRNA from 1 species